rnacentral:rRNA from 1 species
GACGAACGCUUGCGGCGUGCUUAACACAUGCAAGUCGAACGGACCCUUUGGGGUUAGUGGCGAACGGGUGAGUAACACGUGGGUGAUCUGCCCUGCACUUUGGGAUAAGCCUGGGAAACUGGGUCUAAUACCGGAUAGGACUACGCACUGCAUGGUGUGUGGUGGAAAGCUUUUGCGGUGUGGGAUGGGCCCGCGGCCUAUCAGCUUGUUGGUGGGGUGAUGGCCUACCAAGGCGACGACGGGUAGCCGGCCUGAGAGGGUGACCGGCCACACUGGGACUGAGAUACGGCCCAGACUCCUACGGGAGGCAGCAGUGGGGAAUAUUGCACAAUGGGCGCAAGCCUGAUGCAGCGACGCCGCGUGAGGGAUGACGGCCUUCGGGUUGUAAACCUCUUUCGCCAGGGACGAAGCGCAAGUGACGGUACCUGGAGAAGAAGGACCGGCCAACUACGUGCCAGCAGCCGCGGUAAUACGUAGGGUCCGAGCGUUGUCCGGAAUUACUGGGCGUAAAGAGCUCGUAGGUGGUUUGUCGCGUUGUUCGUGAAAACUCACAGCUUAACUGUGGGCGUGCGGGCGAUACGGGCAGACUGGAGUACUGCAGGGGAGACUGGAAUUCCUGGUGUAGCGGUGGAAUGCGCAGAUAUCAGGAGGAACACCGGUGGCGAAGGCGGGUCUCUGGGCAGUAACUGACGCUGAGGAGCGAAAGCGUGGGGAGCGAACAGGAUUAGAUACCCUGGUAGUCCACGCCGUAAACGGUGGGUACUAGGUGUGGGUUUCCUUCCUUGGGAUCCGUGCCGUAGCUAACGCAUUAAGUACCCCGCCUGGGGAGUACGGCCGCAAGGCUAAAACUCAAAGGAAUUGACGGGGGCCCGCACAAGCGGCGGAGCAUGUGGAUUAAUUCGAUGCAACGCGAAGAACCUUACCUGGGUUUGACAUGCACAGGACGCCGGCAGAGAUGUCGGUUCCCUUGUGGCCUGUGUGCAGGUGGUGCAUGGCUGUCGUCAGCUCGUGUCGUGAGAUGUUGGGUUAAGUCCCGCAACGAGCGCAACCCUUGUCUCAUGUUGCCAGCACGUUAUGGUGGGGACUCGUGAGAGACUGCCGGGGUCAACUCGGAGGAAGGUGGGGAUGACGUCAAGUCAUCAUGCCCCUUAUGUCCAGGGCUUCACACAUGCUACAAUGGCCGGUACAAAGGGCUGCGAUGCCGUGAGGUGGAGCGAAUCCUUUCAAAGCCGGUCUCAGUUCGGAUCGGGGUCUGCAACUCGACCCCGUGAAGUCGGAGUCGCUAGUAAUCGCAGAUCAGCAACGCUGCGGUGAAUACGUUCCCGGGCCU